UACGUAGGGUCCGAGCGUUGUCCGGAAUUAUUGGGCGUAAAGGGCUCGUAGGCGGUUUGUCACGUCGGGCGUGAAAACUCAGGGCUCAACCCUGAGCGUGCGUUCGAUACGGGCAGACUAGAGGUAUGCAGGGGAGAACGGAAAUUCCUGGUGUAGCGGUGAAAUGCGCAGAUAUCGGGAGGAACACCUAUGGCGAAGGCAGCUCGCUGGGACGUUACUGAGCUGAGACGCGAAACGUGGGGGAGCAAACAGGG
rnacentral:rRNA from 1 species